GUCCUUUAAGGUUCAUAAGUUUGAUGAUUGGGUGUUCUUGCUAUAAUGUAAGAUGUGCCUCCCUCGAACAUUGUUAUGUUGUUGGUACAUUACGUGAAA